UCUCGUUUCGAUCUCAGAAGUUAAGUCUUUUCGCGUUUUGUUUGUGUACUAUGGGUUUCGGUCUAUGGGAAUUUCAUUUUGCUGCCAGCC
rnacentral:rRNA from 1 species